GAAUGUAAAUUUGAAUCUGAUAGGAUCAUCCGAUGGCCUAUUGCAAUCAUAUUCACAGCAUGGAUGCAAUAAGGAAUUAAUGGAUAGUAAUUGGUUUCAGAUCAUUCCUCCUGGUCAGUGAAUGAACCAGAUUUCAGCCAAGACCAUUAAGGAAUUUUAUUCUUGAGAGAGUACAAAUGUUUUUGCACGUCUUUGCUCAAAGCUUUUAGGAUGAUUUAAGUUUCUUCGAAGCUUGCUUGGAAAAAAGUUUGGUGAUCAAAUUUCAGAUAUUGUUAGCAUCCAAGUGCUCUUGGGUUUGUAAACCA